rnacentral:rRNA from 1 species
UACGUAGGGUGCGAGCGUUGUCCGGAAUUAUUGGGCGUAAAGAGCUCGUAGGCGGCUUGUCGCGUCGGAUGUGAAAGCCCGGGGCUUAACUCCGGGUCUGCAUUCGAUACGGGCAGGCUAGAGUUCGGUAGGGGAGAUCGGAAUUCCUGGUGUAGCGGUGAAAUGCGCAGAUAUCAGGAGGAACACCGGUGGCGAAGGCGGCUCUCUGGGCCGAUACUGACGCUGAGGAGCGAAAGCAUGGGGAGCAAACAGG